UAUUUGGUUGGUGCAAAAGUAAUUGUGGUUUUUGCCAUUGCUUUUAAUUAUUUUUAAUGGCAAAAACCGUAAUUACUUUUGCACCAACCUGAUACUU
ensembl:miRNA